GAUAAAUAUAUUGUUUUUUUUUGAGUUGAAAAUUGAUUAAUAAAUAAAGUAAUAUAAAAAUUUUAUGUUAAAGUAUAAAUUUAGAAUAAAUUAUGUUAAUAUUAUAAAAAGUAAUGAAAAUGAAAAUUUAGAAAAAAUUAAAAAGUAGAUUUAAGUUAUUGUACCUUUUGUAUUAGGGUUGAUUAAAAAAAAUAUUUAAAUUAAAUAUUUCUCGAAUUUGAAAGAUUUAAUUAAAAAUUUUAGUUAUUGUAGAAAUAAUUAUUAAAAAUUUUUAGUUGGAAGUGAAAUGUUAAUCGAUUUCAAAGAUAUCUAGUUUUUUUAGAAUUGAAUUUAAUUCAGCUUAUAAAUAAAUUAAAAUAAAAUUAUUUUUUUUUAAUUAUAUUAUGAAGUAAAUAUUUUUGGGAUAAACUAAGGAUAUAAAAAAUAAUUUAUAAAUAAUAUUUAAUAAAUAAGAAUAUUCAUAAAAUUUGAAUUUUUUAAUAAAAAUGUUGCAAUUUAUAUAAAUUAAAAUAAAAAAUUUAGGUUUAUAGAUUUUUAUUUUUAUAAAAAAGAUUUAUUUAAUAAAUAAAUAAAUGAUAUAAUGAUUAAAUUAGUAAAUAAUAAAAAAUUUGUUUGGAAUAAAUAUAAUUAUUUUAUAUUAUUUUAAGGAAUUCGACAAAUAUUUUUGUUUAAAAUAUAUAUUCACCUGUUUAUCAAAAACAUGUCCUAUUUGAAUAUAAUAUUAGGUCUCCUCUGCCCAUUGAUUGAAAAAAUUGAAAGGCUGCAGUAUAUUGACUGUACAAAGGUAGCAUAAUCAUUUGUUUUUUAAUUGAAAACUGGAAUGAAAGAGUUAAUGAAAUAUAAAUUGUCUCAAAAUAAAAUAUUGAAUUUAAAUUAAAAGUAAAAAUGCUUUUAUUUAAUUAUAAGACGAUAAGACCCUAUAGAAUUUAAUAAAUUUUAUUUUUGUAAUUAUUUUAUUUAAUAAUAUUAUAUGGAUAGAUUAUAUUUUAUUGGGAGGAUAGUUAAAAAAAUUAAACUUUAAUGAGGUAUAAACAUUGAUUAAUGAAAAUUUUGAUUAUUAUUAUAAUUAGUAGAAUAAAUUACCUUAGGGAUAACAGCGUAAUAAUUUUGGAGAGUUCAUAUUGAUAAAAUUGUUUGCGACCUCGAUGUUGAAUUAUGAUAAAAAUUAGAUGGAGGUAUUUAAAUUUUUAGUCUGUUCGACUAUUAAAAUCAUACAUGAUUUGAGUUCAGAUCGGUGUAAGCCAGAUCGGUUUCUAUCUAUAAUUAAAUUAUAUUUUAUUGUACGAAAGGACUUAAAAUAUUAAAUAAUUUAUAAAAUAAUUGAAUAAAAUUAAUAAAUUUUUAUAGUAUAAAAUUUAUAGUAUAAAAU
rnacentral:rRNA from 1 species